rnacentral:rRNA from 1 species
UACGUAGGGCGCAAGCGUUAUCCGGAAUUAUUGGGCGUAAAGAGCUCGUAGGCGGUCUGUCGCGUCUGCUGUGAAAACUCAGGGCUUAACCCUGAGCUUGCAGUGGGUACGGGCAGACUAGAGUGCGGUAGGGGAGACUGGAAUUCCUGGUGUAGCGGUGAAAUGCGCAGAUAUCAGGAGGAACACCGAUGGCGAAGGCAGCUUGCUGGGACGGUACUGACGCUGAGACGCGAAAGCGUGGGGAGCGAACAGG